CCUACGGGUGGCAGCAGUGGGGAAUAUUGCACAAUGGGGGAAACCCUGAUGCAGCGACGCCGCGUGAGUGAAGAAGUAACUCGGUAUGUAAAGCUCUAUCAGCAGGGAAGAAAAUGACGGUACCUGAGGAAGAAGCCCCGGCUAACUACGUGCCAGCAGCCGCGGCAAUACGUAGGGGGCAAGCGUUAUCCGGAUUUACUGGGUGUAAAGGGAGCGUAGACGGCAGUGCAAGUCAGGAGUGAAAGGCGGGGGCUCAACCCCCGGACUGCUCUGGAAACUGGACGGCUGGAGUGCAGGAGGGGUAGGUGGAAUUCCUGGUGUAGCGGUGAAAUGCGUAGAUAUUAGGAGGAACACCGGUGGCGAAGGCGGCUUACUGGACUGUAACUGACGUUGAGGCUCGAAAGCGUGGGGAGCAAACAGGAUUAGAUACCCGAGUAGUC
rnacentral:rRNA from 1 species